rnacentral:rRNA from 1 species
UACAGAGGUCCCGAGCGUUGUUCGGAUUCACUGGGCGUAAAGGGUGCGUAGGUGGUGAGGUAAGUCGGAUGUGAAAUCUCCGAGCUCAACUCGGAAAUGGCAUUGGAAACUACCUUGCUAGAGGGUUGGAGGGGGGACUGGAAUACUUGGUGUAGCAGUGAAAUGCGUAGAUAUCAAGUGGAACACCAGUGGCGAAGGCGAGUCCCUGGACAACACCUGACCACUGAGGCACGAAAGCUAGGGGAGCAAACAGG